rfam:Firmicutes bacterium CAG:475 genomic scaffold, scf25
UUAGAAGUCGAGCCGCUCGAAAGUGGUUUUUAAGUCAAUCAAAGAUUGCACCUAUGUCGGCGAGACUGGUUAGAGGA